UACAGAGGUCUCAAGCGUUGUUCGGAUUCAUUGGGCGUAAAGGGUGUGUAGGUGGCGCGCUAAGUCGGGUGUGAAAUUUCGGAGCUUAACUCCGAAACUGCAUUCGAUACUGGCGUGCUUGAGGACUGGAGAGGAGACUGGAAUUCAUGGUGUAGCAGUGAAAUGCGUAGAGAUCAUGAGGAAGACCAGUGGCGAAGGCGACACGCUGGGCCGUACCUGACACUGAUGCGCGACAGCAUGGGGAGCAAACAGG
rnacentral:rRNA from 1 species